AACAAAAAUAUUGGAAAAGUGUGGCUUUCAUAAGGAAAUUGUCUAUGGCUUUAUUGUCACCUGUCAAAACAAAUUACGAGAUUUGUCAACCACUGCAGAAAUUUUGUGAAUCUUCAUGAUUAUUUGUUAUUUUUAUGAAAAUACAAAAAAAAAACUCAAGCGAGUUAUAUUGUUUUCAAUGUGUAUUGUAAAAUAUGGCGUAAUUUAAACUCAAUCUUUGAUUUUAAAGCACGUCGUUGAGUUGACAGGUAAGUCGGACUGAAAUGUUAAGAUUACAUUUAGUUUAUUACCCGACUGCGUCAGAAAGAGGGUUAUGUUUAUUUUUAAGUAUUUUUCUUUCUUAAUAGCUGCUUUAUUGAGGUUUACCUACAGGUGAAUCUCACAAAUUGGUGCAAAGGAA